UCUUAGUCUUAUAGUUUGAGCUGAAUCAGGUUCACCUGGUCCAGACCUAGAGAUGCUGCUGGUGGACGCUUAGGACACACUGAGCAUCUUCUUUCCUUUUGUCCCCGUGAAAGUUUUUUCAGUAAUCGUUGGAGCUCGCCAUGUUUUCGACGCGUUGCCAUCGGGGUGAUUAAGAUCUGAAGUGAACCAGAGAAACUCAGCCACGCGGACGAUCCACGAGCAACGAUCUGUGGCUCCGACGGCAUUUGCCCUUUGACCCGACCGAGGGAGCCGCCGCACGUUUGAUGCCCUAAAAUCAUCCAUGCCACAUAAGUAUAAUGUACGACCAGACGACGCGUCCUGCUCAUCCCUCUGCUCGCUUCUUUAAUCCAGGGAGAACCAAUGGAGGGAUUGAAAAGGUGAAGAUGGUCACAGCGGGCAGAUGGCCGUCCGAUACGACCGCCACGCCGGAAAGAAGCGUUGCGCAAAACCGUCGAAAGAAACCGUCAUUUAGGGAUGUUUGAG